ACGCUUAGUAAAUGUAAGUUUCUUUUCUCCCUUCUCCCCCCAAAAUGCCCAGCGUUAAUUACAGGAGGGGGGCAGCGGCGGAUGCGCGGCAGCCAGGACAGAGCUGCCGGCACUUUCACUCCGCACAUUUCCCCUUUCCUCACGCUCUCUGCUCCUGUCCGUCAGGCCUGCUGACGACUGCUUGGUAGGAGGGCAGUAAUCUGAGCUGCCUGUGCUGAGCAAACCUCCUGCUUUUUACUGCGGGAUUAGCGCCGAGGUGGCUCUGCGCGCAGCACCUGUACCCGCGCCGCGUUAUCUCUAAAGCUCCGCUCCCCCAGGCGGCUGUGCCGUUCCCCCUGCCAGGGCUGCGCUCCCCAAAUGGCAGGCUGCCUCCUCCGCCGGGAUGGGAACACCUGAGCUUUGUCGGCUCUCCUGCAAGGUUUACAUGGGCACCCCCUCCCCUCAUGACUGCAGUGGGACUAAUCAGACAAUAAGGAUUACCCAUGAUCAGGGUUUUGCUGUGACACAGAAGGAAGAAAACAGGCUGUGUGAUGGGAACUUCAGUGCCCUCAGCAAACAUCUGAUUAUCUGUUGGAAGGAAAAAUAUGUUUUUCCAUCUGGUUAUGGGUUGUGAGGCUGCCGAACGCAAUUUGCUGAGCAGAGUUGUGUACAAGACAGUAGGGUCACAGUCUUGUUCAGCCUCUCAUCAGACAGGCACCUCAGCCUCCUGCGUUCAGGAAAGCACGUAAGCCUCUCUGUCACCCUGAGCCCAUGUGUGUGUCUUGUUAUUGUGGACUUCAGUCCGUGCUGCAAAUGAAGCACACGUACAGAGCACAGACACGUGCUUAACAGCCAGCACUGGCUUCAAGCACCCUCUUGAAUUAGGAUUCAGAAGUAGAAGCUGAUAGCUCUUUCCAUUUUCAGGCUGAUAGGGUGCAGGAGAAGGUUGGCAAGAAAGAUCGUGCUCCUGUUCUGCAUCACGGGUAGGAACGGGUCUGACCUGCAAAAGGAUCCUAAGUGCUGGCACAAGAGUGAACUACUUUGCCUGUGGGAUAACUGAGUGAAAAGUUGUGUUGGAAGUAGGGCAUCAUAUCAAAAAGCCAAGAAAUGCUGAUUUCUUUAGAAAUACAGAGACUGUCAACUAUGACAGGUUGCAUAAUUCGAGUUUCCCUCUAAGUUCUCUGGUUAUCAAGCCACCAAGUCAGUAUCUUUGGUGAAAUCCUCUGAGAUGAGCUGUUCCCGUAGACAUGAAAGGCUGGUGAUCAAGAUGAAAGGCAUUUCCGAGGGACUUGUGCCCCGCUGGAAGGCACUGGUAACCCAAGAUGUGUUUAUCGCAGCUGGCUCUCAGUCUGUACUGAGAAUGCUUUUGCUUUAGGAUUAAUAGUAAGGGGAUGGCUGGUAGUGUUUUAAUUACUGCAGCUUCAUUUCACAGCUGGCCACAGUUUCUGUACAUCUUGUGUCUUCUGCGUGCUCACAUAACUCGAACACUGUCAGUAUUUAUAACAAUCCAUGCUUUAUCCAUAAAACAAUAAAAAAGUCUCAGCUGGGUGAAAAAUACUGGUAGAGGUGCUCGCUGAGUAGGAUGCACUCUUAAAAGAGAUGUCACAGCAUGUGUGCUAGAUCAUGGACUCUUCCUUACCAUAAAAAGCAUUGAAUCAGAGCUUGCUCAUGUUUUCGGUACGCAGAAUAAUUCAGGUUAAGAAGCCAAGCACAACUUUUAUGUUGCAGUGAACUCUAGUUUACGUUGCCUUCAAAUAUUGUGCUGCCUUCCCAGCUGCUGGAGUGCUUCUGCUUCACUCGUGGUUAGCUGGCUUUCUUUAAUUCCUUGGAGUUGCACAAUGCAUUUCCUAGUCACAUUGUGUGUGCCAAGAACCACGCUUUAUUUUCAACAUCACGGUUACCUUUGCGACUGCGUCUUAGGAUUUCUCUUUAUAAUAGAAGUGAUGGCUUGGUGAACGUUGAAGAGCAGCAUGUGCUGAGAAAUGCCCAGUACUGGCACCACCGCUUACCUGAACUGAACCCGUGGCAGAGGCAAAUCCUGCUUCUUCUCCCAUGUUUUAUGGGAGCUGGCAAAUUGGAGCCAAGAACCAGAGCACAUUACAUUCCCCUUCCUGUGCAGUGAACUGUCUUGUUGGGCACUAUUAGCAAGGCCAUGGUUAGUGUCCCCAGUGAUCUUUAAUCCAGAUGCUUUCAGCAUUAGCAGCUUCAGAGAUGUGUACGAUGAAGAGAAGGGACCAUACCUGGGUAACUUGACAGAGCAACUGGCUACCUGGCAGGCAAGGGACCAAUGUAAUUAAAAACAUUCCUGUCUGCAGCACCAGGCUUCUGAAUGUGUCCUGGCUGGCUGUAAUUAGGGGUGUCGAGCAGAUGUAUUGUUUCUGGAGUGGGAUUAUUGGUACCUUGGUUAUGGGUACCUUCCUUGCUUCUGGUCCUCCUGUUUUAUGAUGGCCUGUGCUUUGUGAUGUCCCAAGGAGUUGACUAUCAGCAGUGAUCAGGAGAGCAGGAAGCUGUGUGGGCAGGUUGGAGAUCAAAGGAGCGCGCUGCCCUGCUGCUUGUAUGCUCUUUAAAGAAAGCAUUUUGGAUUUCAGCACAUCAUUACUUAGGCUCAGAGUGGACUGAUCUGUUACUAAUGCAGUGAGCAGAUACAGUGCCCUUGCAUGGGGAGAGGAAAAUAGCCAUGAAUUAGCAAAUACACAGUGUAGCAGGACAGCGGGAGGGCAGGGCAGAGCUCGCUUGGGGAAAUUAGCACACUUGUCCCACAGCAAGGUCCCCCGAGCAAGCACAGAGGAUUACUUUAAACUGCUGGAUUACUGCGAGCUCCGGCGCCGAGACUGCAAUGUGCUUGCACUUUCGUUUUGCUCAGCCCUGUUGCCCAGCCCAGCCCAGCCCUACAGGCCAAGCUUUCAGUAAAAAAGGGAUCCUUAUCUCCUUUCCUUUUCCAAAAUUCCUGAAAGCCUGAGCAGGGCUCCUUGAAGUCAAUGGGUUCUGCAGACCGCUUUGCAUUUUUGAAACUCAGGUCGUGAAUUUAGGCACCUGCCUUUCGAAGGUCUUUAUACAUUUUGCAGUGCUUCUACUUGCCUAUCUAUAGGACCUGUAUGUCCAACAAUUUGUACUUGCUUCAGAUUCUGGAACAGGGGGAAUGGCUGAAAACUCCCAUCUUACAGGAAAAUCUCAUUUGAUUAAAUGCAGAUGGGUACAUGAUGGCCCUAACUGAGCCAGUGACCUUCAGAAUUUAAUAAGGAAUGAAAUCAUUUUCGUAAACAUUUUAUGGUUUCCCUGGUGAGAAAAUUAAUGAUUUAAUUUGAUAGGAUGGUACCAAAUAUGCACAGAAAGAUUAUCAUGUGUGAUGCCAUAAGGUGACCUUUCCUCAUAAGGAUUCCCUUUCUUCCUUUCUCUGGAUUUCUCCUCUGUGGUUUCUCUUUUCCCAUACUAGUUUCAACAUCCUGCUCCUUGCCUUUUCAAUCUCUUUCUCUUCCCCUCUGGUGUAGAUGAGAAGCAGCAUCAGAAAAGGAGAACAGGGACCAGAGUUACAACAGCUUUCCCCCAGUUGUCAGCACCACACUAUCGCUCCGUGCAGGGAGGGAAGGGGCUUUCCCAGGACUGCUUCUCAUCACUGGAGGAGAAGAGGCAAUAUUGGAGGAAGGCAGUAUGGGAGCCAGGAACGACCAGGCUCUUACCCAACUCCAACUCCUUUAGUUCCCAACGUAAGGGCUGGGUUGGGAGCACUUGUAGGUGUGGUUGUGAAACUGGCAGUAAAAUCUGUUUCCAAUCUCUCUUUGUGAAUAUCAAGAGAUCACACAGGUUGGCUGAUCAAAACCAGAAAAGGUGUGAGAACUGCUGUCUUGCCCCGUUUGUUUUUAUUAUAAUUUCCUGAGGAGCCGCGACUCUGCCGUGAAACUGAAAUAGCAGCUUUUAAAAUUAGGUAUUAAUUAGAACAUUUCAGGCCGAGAAGGAAUUGUCAGUGCGGGGCUGGGACAAAUCAUCAUUCCUCUGUGCAAGUCUGCGAGGCUGCACUGAUCUGCUGGAGCACCUGCCAGCUCGGGAUCCCUAAGACACGGGGGCCUCCCGUUAGCUUCAUAACGGGUGGCGCUGCUUUUGUAAGGGGGAACAAACAAGUCAGCUGCUCACUCUUACAUGCCUCCUGCUUUUCCUUCCCUGUUUUAGUCACCUUGCUCUCUUUUACUCUCGUCUCACCAGCUCAGUGCCUGCAGCAACUGGCAAUUAGUGCAGUGUGAGCAUACAAGCUCUGGCUGUCUGACUCCUGGCCACUGGAGCUCUGUCAUUAGCGGCUGCCUGUUAAAAGGGUGAGCAAGGCUGGCUCCCUCUCCUUCCUGCCCCUGGCCUGCCUUCCCAUGCGCAGCCUCACCUUCCCCGUCACAACCUGCAGCGCUGAUGGUGAAGGCGCUUCGUUCACCCUCCUCGCUGACGGCAGCCUCACUGAUGCAGUCAAAUCUGCACGCAGCUUAAGAAGAUCCUGGCCUUCUGGACUGCGUCGCGACGGUGCGUACCCCAGCGCUGCGGGUGUAGUGAGCUUGGGUUUUGGUGAUUUUUACAGUUUAUUUGGAGUUUUGCGCCCCACGUGGGCACACCAGUUCUUUUGCAGAGCGCUCCCCGGCAGGCCUUGUGUUGUGGCUUCCUCAUCUUGCUCCCUUUGGUGCCCGUUGCGGGUAUUUCUCUUCUGCUACUUCUGUCUCUCUGCCUUGUUUUGUAAGGGACUGGACGCUCAGAGACGUGGUGAGCUGGGACAUUGAAUUUUGCAGUCGCCUCUCAUCCAGGUUUAUGUUAUUUUCUUCUUCUUUUAAGCAUGAAGCUGUAUAGGUGAGCACAGGCUUAAAUCUGUUGGGCUGAGGCAAGCCAGCAGUGCAUAGGAAAUGGCAUUUUUCUGUGAAGCAGUUCCAGUCUACCCCAGUCCACCAGCAGCAACGUGUGAAUGGUCCUGCCGAUGUGCCAGUUUGCUUUCUUCAUUUACCUUGUGCACGGUCCUGCAAAGGCUUCUCAGUCUCCAUAUUGUGGUGGUGUGCUUCUGCUGUCAAAUACCUCAUCACGGAUGGUGAGACAGCACCCCGGCACAUUGGGAGGUGAUUGCAGGUGAUCACUCAGACAAGUCCUGUGUUCACUCGUUUUGAGUGUUUGACCAGCAGCCACGUGAAGUGCGCAGUAUUUGCUGCCGUGCUGUUGGUGUGUUUGUUCAGGGGGCAUGUGGCUCAGUCGCUUGCUGAGGCACGAGAAGCAGCAGGGAGAUCUGGUUUUGAGACCCAGCACAGCCGGGUCUUCUUUACAGUCUUUCUUCUAGAAGAUGAUCUGCUUGGUCUUCCCAGAGAUGCAGAAGUAGCCACGGUGGUGCUACGUGUUUCCACCCAACAGCAGUCAGUACCCAAUGAUGCCAGGUGUGGAGCAGCCUUGCUUUAUAGCAAUGCCAUAGCUUAUAAUUCAGUCUUGACCUUAUAAAAUGACAGCUACUUUUCUUGGGGUCCAAGUAUUUGGGAAUUGACAGUACAACUGGCUGAGCUCUCAGAUGAACAUAAUAUCCAUGACAAUCCCAAGGAAAACAUCACGAAUUGCAGCUUAGACAUACAUAAAGCCAGGCAUUUUUAUUUAGAUGUCUAAGAUUUUCGGUGUUCUACUUGACUCCAGAUUGAGUCAUUCUCCCCCACUUAGAGAUUUGAGUGCUUCAUUUUUGUUAUUUACCUUAUGUGUUAAGUGCGAGUUCCUCUGCCUGGCCCGUUCCAACGCAAACAAGCCACAAUUUCUGUUAGCGAUGGAAGCUAACGAGCUUAAUUGCCUGACAGCACAGCGUGCCUGACAUCACGGCAUCGCAGCAUUGGCGCUGUGAUGCUGAGCUGCUCCUGGGGCAACCGUAGCAGAGGGCUUUGCCUCUGUCAGAAUACGGGGCUGAAUAACAGCCAUGGGAAAUGGCAGGGGAGGUUCUGAACCUGUCACUGCAAAAGGGCUGAGCAAAUCAGUCAGCACAAAGCGGCAAGACCUGUCAAUGCUCCUGAGAGAUUGAUGCUAAAAGAAACUGUUGCCUUCCACUGAACUGAGCCUCGGCCUUUUUUUACAGGGUGUUAGCCACAUCUUUGCUUUUCUUUGGCAAUUUGGAGCACCUGCAAGGUGCUCAGAGCUUGGGGCCAGCUCUUACAAAGGAUGCCUAGGAAGAAGAGAAGGAAAUUGUUUGCAGCCAGACUUUGCUGCACCACCUGGGACAGCACCCGUGUGAAGAAAGCAUCCAAACCAGGCUUCACAAAGUAAUGUUGACCUAACUAGGAGCAAGAACAAGCCUUUAUAAUACAUGUUGCAGGAGUAGAGUCUGGAGAUGUAGCUGAACAAACGUUUCUCUCCAUAAUUUCAGCAACAGUGAAAUCCAUGAUGUUCAGGUGUGUAAACCACAGGGAGAUUCAUACGUGGCACUGCAUUCAUAAGUGCCAGGGGAAGGCUUUUGAGACCUGUUAACUUGCAGAUACUGACAUGGUUCUUACAGGAGAAGCAAAACUGUAUUCAGUUGUAUAAGGGAAUGUAGAGACUUAAAAUUUAGGUCUGGAGGUUUUGAAAGUUAAAAAAAUAGAGGUUAAUUUAAGUGUGCCUUUACAUGUGUGAUAAGUGUAGUUCUCAUCUUAGGAAGUAAUUGGCGAGAUGUCUCAUAGAGGACUAAUAACAGGGUGGGGAAGACAGAGUCAUCGUUCUGUGGAAUACUCUGUGUCCUCGGAGCGUGUACAAACAGUAACUAGCAGCAGUGCAUGACACGGACAUUCCCAAAGGCUUGUUCCUGUUCAUUACAAACAGGCAACCCGCAGGAUUCCUAUUCAUGGGAGAGAGUUCAAAGAGCUCAGCCUAUUCUGAGACAGAGCAAGAAGACUUUCCUAAGGGAGCUCGUAGGAUAACAAAAAAAUAAUUUCAUGAGCAUCUUGGAAAUGUCUCAGACUGGGUUCAUUGCUGGAGAGCAGACCAGGGUAAUGCGAUUCUGUGCUUCUGCACAGCUGGUCGGUGACACAUCAGAUCUAUUUUAAGAACGUACUUGGCCUGCAGACCUGGUGAUGAUAAUGUGCUGAUCUGAUUCUACCUUUGCUAGCUUAGAGGUUUUCACUUCCAUGGUUAGUAGCUGCACUAUGUUCCCAGUGCUGAAUCAGUGCAGUUGAGGUUCCCUUUUCCGUUUGGUUGAUUUGCACUGUACUUGUUUGUGGAACUGUGUGUGAGAACGUGGGUUGUCCUUCAUAUCACACAGUCUCUCUAGAAGAUUUUGAGGGAUAGCAAGUACAUUUUGGCGCCCAGACCUGUUAAAUUCAGGCAAGUCUCUGGCACUUGCCUUUCCCUGUUUAAAUAGUGUUCUUCCUUUUAGGGAACAAAUUGCAGUAGCCUUGAGCCCCUGUCACAGAGGUAGGGUCCAUGUACACAGCAGGAACUGAGAUCACGGCUCCCACCUUCGGGCAGAGUUAGAUCUGGAUCUGAAGCUUCACACUCAUGCUAUCUUUUGAUGCCUUUUUCUUUGUUUUCUCAGGCACCGUUCAAAACUUGUGUCCCCAUUUUUGGGUGACUUCAUGGUGACUGUGUGCCUGGUGGUCAGGGUACUGGGAUCCUGCCAAAAGCUACAGAAGCAGUGGGGCACUCAUCAUCAUGAGUUUACGUCAGAGUUGUGCAAGCAGUACUUAGCUGCAGAUUACGAGAGUGCUCCUCACUCGGUGUUAAGCUAAAUGCCUUUUAGUGUGUUUGAUGGAAAGGGUGGGAGAGAGAACAGCAGCAAAAACACACAAAGUAGAGCAACUCUGAAGCAGAACAAGCCAAGAGGGCACGUUAAACCUGGAACAUGAGCUUGUAGGCAUGGCACGCUACCUACGUUAAAUAUGAAACUGAGCCCAAAGAGGUUAUGAUGCAAUUUAGAAGUGUAUCCUAAAAGAACCUGAGCUGUGGGAGUGCACUCACAGCUUUAUCGGAUAGGUUAAUGUUUCAGAAGUUUUUGUCCACAGGACGGAAGCCAUGGACUCACCACCAGGUUGUAAGAAGCAGCUUUCCCUAUGGCUGGCUUGCUCUGCAGCUACCCCAAAAAAGCAGCUGAAAUUUAAAACAGUCGGAGGCCAGGUACUGCAUUUAUGGGACUGUUUGUGGACACGUGCCUUUCCCUGGAGGUGUUAGAACAGCAAAUACAUGAAGAUGGGGCAUACUUUUCUUUUGUUCUGUGCUCUGGUGGGUCUGCCCCUCUCCACUGGUUUCCCUGAGCUUUUUGAGUAAUUCAGUAUAAAUUACCCCACAUUUAAACAGCAAGUUAGAUGUUAGAUGUGUCUCAUCGCAUUAGGCUACUGACUCGCACAUGGACACACAAGCAAAAACUCCAUUUGUUGGUUAAACCUUCAUAAAGCCGUUAUCGUGGAAGUGACCACUGACCUAGAAAUACGGCAGCUGCAUCUCUGGCAGUCACUGCAGUAGCCUCUUGGUGACCUAAUUUCUCCUAGCAGUGAGCGUCAUGCUGCACGAGCCUGAAUCCUCCUUAGUAAACGUACCAGCAAAUGCUUCUUGCUGCUGAGUUUUCAGAGAAGUCGCAAAUGAACUGGUGAAAUGGGAGGAACCGUGACGCUGGUAACUGCUUGGGAAAAUCUGCCUUUAUUUAAGCCUCGAAGACAAGAAUCAUUCAGUUGUGAGUGUGGAUUUUCUAAGUAUCUGAACGGCUGCUUCAGAUUCAAAGGACCAAGUCCUUGUUUUCAGAUCCCAAAUGUAUGAGUUUGUAUUGUAGGUUUAUUAAGAUGCAGAGGGACAAAUAAAAACUAGCCCAAUUUUCAGCCUUUGGGGCAAUGUCUCAAUGUUUCCUCUGACUUUGCUGCAGUUUGCAGAAGUGGUGGUGCAUGGAGCAGAGCAGAAACUGGUAUCCUGCCUGCUGUGCAAGCCCUACUUGUCUGUACACAGAUGCCUCUGAUUUCCAUUCUGCAUCUCUGUUAGCCUUGGCAAUAGCCUUCCUUUUUUACACAUAGCUAUUAACCUGACCUUAUCUCUGCAGUUAACGAUACGAUAUGUUACGUGUGUCCGUAUGAAGCCCCUGAUGAAGCUGUCCAGCCUAACCAGCACACCAGGGCAACAGUGACAUCCAUUGGCCUAUUAAGCUGAUCAGAAGUUCUGUCCAAACACCACCACGUAUUUACUCAAGGUGGAGGGCUGGGCUGGAGGCCUCCAGCACCACGGUUUCUCAUGUAAAUACCAGCUGCUUGCCUUCCCCUCUCCUUCUGUAGCAACCUGUUUGCGUUCUUGUUUCAGAUACUGACUCUUCACCCCUGUUAGGGUGAAAACAUGCUUUUUAGGAUGUAGCUUAGUAUCACCAAUUCCAAAAAUUACAAGCUGCUUGAUUUCAACUGCUGCAUCCUUUCUUGAAGACAAGAGAGUUUGGAAGCACUACUUCAGAGAGAAUUGGAAGGGAUUUGGACAUGCAGUAGAGGAACUGACAGCAGGAAGGUUCUUUAAAAGAAGUGAGCAAAUGAUUCAAAGUAUGAAAUAAUUAGAGGAUUCAGUGACAUGCACAAAAAAUACUCAUCUGGAGAAUGAAUCUGGAGGAUUCUGAUUUCAUUCCAAAAAAAAAAACCCGAAGAGUUCAAUUUAUUUUGAAUUGUAUAAGUAAAUCAGUGAACAUUUCCUGCGGGCCUUUCAUUGAACAGCCCCGGUGUCUGUUGUACAUUUUUGACCAGCUGUCGUUUCAGUCCCAUUCCAAGGUGAAACAACCCGUGUCUGAAAGGGAGUCCACCUGAGACACAGGGUUGAACCUACAAGUCUGUGAGCUCGCUGUCAUUGCCCCACAGCACGGUGCGGUUGUUGCAGUUUGUAUCUGCAACCAGGUGCCUCUCCCUUGUGAUUGGGGCAACUGGAACUUUACCCAGCAAGGUCAGCACAGGGAUUUUCCCUUCCAGCAUCACCAGAGAUAGAAGAAAAAUGAAGAUACGCUGGCGCAUGUAGUCUGACUUGGAGUCUAGUUCAUACCUCUUAGUUAGAAAGGAAAUGCUAAGUGCUGUGGUCCUUCGGAGCAGUCAUAACUGAGGGGAGCUGUAGGUACUGAACAUAAGGUCUUCCCUUCAUUUAGGCAGCUUUGUGUCAGUCAUUGUGUCCACAGCACCUGAGAUGAAGGAUCUUCUCUUCAUUUAUUUCCAGCAGGACAGCCUAGGAAACAUAUUUAAGUGAUGCUCAGUGUACUGAAGGACUUCAGGCUGCACUUUGUGGGUGUGUGGAUAGCAAGCAGGAGGGAAUCUAAUGAAGAAGCUUAGCUUCCUGACCCUCCAAACUGCAGCCUGCUGGAAAUGUGUUCAUCCAGCUUAUGUGACAUCAGAGUCUUUCCUUCACCAGCAUGUGUCUCACAUUGCCAAUUCCAUAGUCGCACAGCUUGCAAAUCUUCCUGCUGGAUAUUUGAGAUGCUGUCAUCUUACACAGCUCACUCCAGACAGCCUCUCCCCUUUUGAUAUCCUGUCUUCUCCCUGCCUGACUCUGGGGACUUCUCUGCUCUCCUUGCUUUCCUGCCUCUCGGUGGACAGAUGUCUGUAGAUAAUGCGCGUGCACUAUUGUUACAUUUCCAUGGGAUGGAAGGAAAGCAUCAUUUCUUUUUUCAACUCUUAUUCAUUCUGUAGCUGAUUUCUCUCUCUCACACCCUUGCUCUGCAGGUGAGCUGCAUACAGCAUUGGGGUUUGCAGGAGCUGAUCUUCCCCAGCCAUUACCAAAUGCUGGAAUUUCCCCAGGUUUUGACUUCUUUUUGCCUCUUGAGUUCUUUUUCUCAUUCCUACAGCGUGUGGUUUCAUGGGGAGUGGCUGUCCAUUGGCUCAAGUUUCUUUAACUAUACUUUGUAUACGUUUUCUGUGGUCAGGAACCAGGACCCAGCGCCAGAUAAAAUCCUGCUGUUUGUGGCUAACAAUGGAUAACAUUGUUGUCCUCCCAGACAUUUGCAUAAGAGAUAUGAAAACAGCCCCAUUCAUACCCGUCUGUGACGGGGCUGGGUGGCUGCAACUGCUUUGAAAUUUGAGGUGGGUUGUUGCUUGAUUGCAUAAGGUGGCCGGCACUGCCACAGCUUUCCUCAGGCCGCAGGUGCACCGGCCUUAUCUGUGCUGUGUCUGCCUGCCAGCAGCGGCAGGGCAGGGGCAGGAUUCCUCCUGCUGCUGCAAAGCUCCUGCAGUCCCAAGCAAACGCGUGUCUCAUCUACAGAUGUCAAAAGAUGGAUGAGAAAAUACUGUCAUCGUGCUCCAGAGUAGGCUUAGCCCCAUUUGCACCUGUAAAUUCAGGAUGAGUUAGGAAGAAAAACAUUUCAAAUGCCUUUUGGUAACCAACAAGCCAGAAGGUGGCUUUCUUUUUUUAUUUUUACUUUUUCCUACAGAGAGUAUUGAGAUUUUGUUGGAAAACAGGAUAGCUCAAAAGUGCAGUUGUGUUUAUGGCACCACGCACAGCAAAGAGCACCCCAGCCUGACCUGACACCUCCGAGACUCGCAUUUGUGCAGCCUUUCCGGUGAAGACAAGCAGGGUUAUCACUUCAAGUGGCUUGUGGCUUGGAAUGAAAGGAAGGCUUUCUUUCCCAGUGCUAAGAGGACCCAGGGUUAGUGCUCUCCUGUCACAUAGGGACGUUGUUCUGUGUGUUCAUAGCAUCCUGUGCUGACUGCUCCUGUCAGCCAGGAGCUGCCAAUGCUGCACACUCAGGUACCUCAUUUUGCUUCGCCACUCCACCAAACUGGCAAAACACAGCAGGUUUGGGGCAGCAGGUAGGUUUUAAUGUGGAAAAUUAUCUCCUGCAUGGGGUUCUGCUAGGAGAUACUUUACGACCGACACAGGUGUAUAAAGUGGCAUGGGGUGGCCCAUUUCUCUGCCCUGCCUGCGUACCCCCUCGGGUACCCGGGGUGCCUGGAUGGUUCGGUGCUGUGGGCUUUCACUGUAGCAAAGGGAAGGAGAUGGACAUUUUCUCUUUUGCUGGGCCUUCACAUAGUAGAGCUGCUUGCUUGUUUUCAGCAAACAAUGCAUUAUUACUGUCUUGGUGAAAGGAGGAAGGCAAAAUUAAAAGAGAGAGAGAACAUCUUAUGAACCUGCUGUUCUCAGAUCUCUCUGAUAAGGACAGUUCCAAGUGCGUGAGAAGUUUCCUAGUCUGAGAUUUAUUUACUUCUGAAAGAAAAGCCACCUUCAUCUCAUUAUUUUAUUUUCAAUACAGGUUUUAAUUUGGUGAGAAAAUAUCUUUCCCAUAAAGAACCUAUUCUGCCUCAUUAACUCCUAUAAAAAGCAUCCUCCCCAAGCUUGAAAUGUUAAAAGAAGCAUAAAUUAAGGCUAAGUUUGUUGUUUGCCGCUUUAAUCAACAAACAACCUUAAAAGGGACCCACAAAGGCUUCUGUAAACUAAAUUUAUUAGUGAGCAGGAAAACAGGCCUUCAGCUGCAGCAUCCUCCCCUUCCCAGCCCCAUGAAUUUGGAGGGGGGUGGCUUUUUGGAGGGACUGGUUUUGUUUACGGGGGUCUUACUCUCUUAGGCAGGUUGUUGCGGUCCCAUGGAUCUCUGUCAGACUUUUGUGUUGCAGCUGAACUGAAAUGACUUGGGACAGAGUCUGUUAAUUAGGUCUUCAAAAGCCGCCUCCAUUUGUUUCUUUGGUGUACAAAUGUCCUUUUUUCCUCUUUUUCCCUAAAUCUUCUUGUCAGUAGCUAAGCAGAAGAGAAGAGCUUUUUCACAGCAAGAGAAAACGGCCAUCCUGGCUGCCUUCCUCUCCGGGAAG